rnacentral:rRNA from 1 species
UACGAAGGGGGCUAGCGUUGUUCGGAAUUACUGGGCGUAAAGCGUAUGCAGGCGGACUUUUAAGUCGGGGGUGAAAUCCCGAGGCACAACCUCGGAACUGCCUUCGAUACUGGAAGUCUUGAGUCCGGGAGAGGUGAGUGGAACUCCGAGUGUAGAGGUGAAAUUCGUAGAUAUUCGGAAGAACACCAGUGGCGAAGGCGGCUCACUGGACUGGUAUUGACGCUGAGGUGCGAAAGCGUGGGGAGCAAACAGG